GAUGAACGCUAGCGGCAGGCCUAACACAUGCAAGUCGAGGGGGAGGUUACUUUCGGGUAACUGAGACCGGCGUACGGGUGCGUAACGCGUAUACAAUCUGCCUUUCACUGGGGGAUAGCCCGAAGAAAUUUGGAUUAAUACCCCAUAGUAUAGUAAUACGGCAUCGUGAUGCUAUUAAAGCUUAGGUGGUGAAAGAUGAGUAUGCGUUCUAUUAGCUAGUUGGAGAGGUACCGGCUCCCCAAGGCGAUGAUAGAUAGGGGUUCUGAGAGGGAUGUCCCCCAGACUGGUACUGAGAUACGGACCAGACUCCUACGGGAGGCAGCAGUGAGGAAUAUUGGACAAUGGUCGGAAGACUGAUCCAGCCAUGCCGCGUGCAGGAUGAAGGUCUUAUGGAUUGUAAACUGCUUUUGGAAGGGAAGAAUAAGGGCUACGCGUAGUUUGAUGACGGUACCUUACGAAUAAGCAUCGGCUAACUCCGUG
rnacentral:rRNA from 1 species